UACAGAGGUCUCAAGCGUUGUUCGGAUUCAUUGGGCGUAAAGGGUGCGUGAGGUGGCCAGGUAAGUCGGAUGUGAAAUCCCGGGGCUCAACCCCGGAACUGCAUUCGAUACUGCCCGGCUUGAGUACUGGAGAGGAGAUUGGAAUUUACGGUGUAGCAGUGAAAUGCGUAGAUAUCGUAAGGAAGACCAGUGGCGAAGGCGGAUCUCUGGACAGUUACUGACACUGAGGCACGAAGGCCAGGGGAGCAAACGGG
rnacentral:rRNA from 1 species